rnacentral:rRNA from 1 species
CCUACGGGGGGCAGCAGUGGGGAAUAUUGGACAAUGGGCGAAAGCCUGAUCCAGCCAUGCCGCGUGUGUGAAGAAGGCCUUCGGGUUGUAAAGCACUUUCAGUGGGGAAGAAAGCCUUGGGGCUAAUACCCUCGAGGAAGGACAUCACCCACAGAAGAAGCACCGGCUAACUCCGUGCCAGCAGCCGCGGUAAUACGGAGGGUGCGAGCGUUAAUCGGAAUUACUGGGCGUAAAGCGCGCGUAGGCGGUCUGAUAAGCCGGUUGUGAAAGCCCCGGGCUCAACCUGGGAACGGCAUCCGGAACUGUCAGGCUAGAGUGCUGGAGAGGAAGGUAGAAUUCCCGGUGUAGCGGUGAAAUGCGUAGAGAUCGGGAGGAAUACCAGUGGCGAAGGCGGCCUUCUGGACUGACACUGACGCUGAGGUGCGAAAGCGUGGGUAGCAAACAGGAUUAGAUACCCCAGUAGUC